CAGAUCCCAGACCAUCCUGACCCGGGACUGCUCCCAGUCCUGCACGUGCCGGGGCCCAGGGGGGCUCCAGUGCCGCCCCUCUCCCCCUGGGCCACACCUGUGACCUCUUGAAUGGCACCCGGACCUGUGCCCCCGCCCAGGGCGGUGCCUCUUGUCCUCUCCCACCCACUUUGUCACCUUCGAUGGCCUCCCCGGGGCCACCCUGGCCACCGGCGUCUACGUGGUGGCCACUGUGUGUGACGUCCGGGCCCCCACCUGGUUCCGGCUGGGGGUCAUUGGGGACAUCGGGGACCACCCAGGGGUGGUGGCCCUUCACCUCUUCACCCACCACGGGCUCAUCACUGCCCGCACGGACAGCAGGGUCUGGCUCAACGGAGUCCCCACCUCCCUCCCUGCGGAGCUCUCGGGGAAGUUGAACAUCACAGAGUCAGGCGGGACCUCCGGAUCGGGUGGAUCCCAGGAUUCCAGGUGGAACUGGGAGCCCAGGGGGUGACCCUGGAGGUGACAAGGACACACGGGGGACCCUCUGUGGCCUCUGCGGGGACUACGAUGGGGCCACGACCAAUGACCUGCGGGGCCCCGACGGGACAGUGACAGGGGACACGAGGGAGCUGGCACAGGCCUGGAGGGCUCCUGACUUCAGCCAGUGAUGCGGAAAAUCGGCUUUUCGCCGCUGCCAUGACCCGAAACCGCCCCGGAGACGGAACAGCCGCGUUUCUAUAUCCCUCAAACCCGCCCUGCCCUCCCCCCCCCCAAAAAAUAAAAGUUGGGGAGGAAAACGCC